GUUAAGGUUUCGACGGGGAUUUUGAAACUGGUGAAGCAAGCCGAUGCGAAUCGUAAAUCGCAACCUAAAAUUAAACGCUGAAGAUAAUUUAGCAUACGCUGCCUAAUGGCAGCCGUUCUACCGGUAACACCUACAUUACCGGAUAGAGCGUCGACUCUGUAGGAAACGACACACAGUAAGCUUUGCCUGUGUGGGCGUAUUAUGAAGCUACCGAGUACCGUUGGUCGUUUAUUCCUGACGGUAUGAGGGAAUGGGGUGAACCGUAAGAGUAAACUAAGCUUGUAGAAGAACAGUGGAUGGGUUUUCGGACACGGGUUCGACUCCCGUCUGGUCCACU
rnacentral:tmRNA from 1 species